GAGAGGUAUAGAAGACCUGCUAACUCUUCAUUCUGGCAACACACCAGCCCUCUUU
rnacentral:tRNA from 1 species